rnacentral:rRNA from 1 species
AUGAACGCUGGCGGCGUGCCUAAUACAUGCAAGUCGAGCGAACGGACGAGAAGCUUGCUUUUCUGAUGUUAGCGGCGGACGGGUGAGUAACACGUGGAUAACCUACCUAUAAGACUGGGAUAACUUCGGGAAACCGGAGCUAAUACCGGAUAAUAUUUUGAACCGCAUGGUUCAAAAGUGAAAGACGGUCUUGCUGUCACUUAUAGAUGGAUUCGCGCUGCAUUAGCUAGUUGGUAAGGUAACGGCUUACCAAGGCAACGAUGCAUAGCCGACCUGAGAGGGUGAUCGGCCACACUGGAACUGAGACACGGUCCAGACUCCUACGGGAGGCAGCAGUAGGGAAUCUUCCGCAAUGGGCGAAAGCCUGACGGAGCAACGCCGCGUGAGUGAUGAAGGUCUUCGGAUCGUAAAACUCUGUUAUUAGGGAAGAACAUAUGUGUAAGUAACUGUGCACAUCUUGACGGUACCUAAUCAGAAAGCCACGGCUAACUACGUG